UUUUCAUCGGAUGUGGCUUGUUUCUAUCUGAUUAAUACAAAAUACACUAAACUGUGCACAUUGUCUGACAUAAGUCGCGGACGCGACCUUAAGCGUUCGGACGUCCGAACAGAAUCUGGCUGGUUGGAUGUUUUUGCAUCCGCGGACGUCCGCGGAUGAACCGUGCACAUUGCUAAGCCGCAUCCAUCAGCCGCGAUUUAUGGAUGCGACCGAUAAUUUGUUUCUAGCUUUAGGGCCUCAUUUUUGUUACAC